CCCUGCAGGCGAGAGAGAAAGAGAAAGAGAGAGAGAGAAAUAAAGCAAAGGUCUCUCCACACUCCCUCUCACUUCUCCAGUCCCUCCUCCACCACCAGCGUGUUCUCUCUCCUCUCUCCAAGGUUUCUCUCCACAGUCAUGGCCCGUCUCAAGAUACACGUCAUAUAUUGUGGUGCCUGAGGUUAUGGACCGAAGUAUCGCCAGCUGAAAGAGCAUCUCGAGGCGGACUUCCCUCAUAAACUUGAAUUUAGUUAUGAAGCCACUCCUAACUCCACCGGCUACCUGGAAGUUAUAGUGGAUGGCAAACUUGUCCACUCCAAAAAGAACGGCGAUGGUUACGUUGACACAGAGAAGAAAUUCAACAAGAUUUCCGAUGCGGUCAGUGAUGCCUUGGAUGCCGCGGAGACUCAGAGCUAACCUAACCUAACCUGUGGCCUCACCCUCGCCUCGUCUCUACCCUUUCUCCUUCGCCCCGCUCCGCCCCGCAGCCCCGGACAUGAAGCUGCCGCCCCAAAGCCCCGCAAGGACCGGUGGUGGUGGAACAAACUGGGGCAUGGGGGGAGGUGGCGGGACGGGGCUUGAGAGGGGGGGAGGAGGCUGUCUUGGAGGGGGUCAUUUGGGAGGGUUCACGUAGUGUUUAUUUAUUUGUUUUGUUUAUUUGAGAUUAUUUUGAGAUUUGGGUUGUCUCUGUCUGUCUGUCUCCGUCUGUCUGUCUGUCUAUCUGUCUGUCUGUCUCUCAGGGAUUCAUAUUUUUCUUAUUUAUUGAUUGAUUUAUUCUCUC